rnacentral:rRNA from 1 species
UACGGGGGGAGCAAGCGUUGUUCGGAUUUACUGGGCGUAAAGGGCGCGUAGGCGGCCAGCACAAGUCAGUUGUGAAAUCUCCGAGCUUAACUCGGAAAGGUCAACUGAUACUGUGCGGCUAGAGUGCAGAAGGGGCAACUGGAAUUCUUGGUGUAGCGGUGAAAUGCGUAGAUAUCAGGAGGAACACCGGUGGCGAAGGCGGGUCUCUGGGCCGACACUGACGCUGAGGAGCGAAAGCGUGGGGAGCGAACAGG